CAGUGGCCCAGGGCCCCAGUGGCUGGGAGAGAAGGUUUGCUAAGCCCUCCCCCGACCCCAUGUCCCACCAGUCCAUAGCUGGACCCAGAACCUCAGCUCCUCCAAUUCUGGCAAGAAAGGCCUCAGUUGUUGAGCAAGAGAGAGAAAGACUGGAGAAACAGACAUCUAAAAUACAGCCUCCUUGAUGAGAAGAACAGCUGGGACCAGAAAGAUGCUUGUGAAUUAUGGGUGACAUGACUGUUGAGGUCAUGCCUGAUGUGGACACAGGCGGCUAUGGGCCUGGCUCAAACUGAACUUUCUGGAGGUUUUCCUGCAAAGCAGAACGAUAAUGUGGAUCGGAUGCUGCCCCCACUUCGCGGCCAUCAUCCUUGUCUUUCCGUGCCACUGUGCGGUUUGCCCGUCCUCCUUCUGAAUGGCUGCAGAGCUGUCCUGUCCUUGUUAGAGGCCUGCCUGCGGAGGGCAGCCCUGAAACUCCCCUGGCUCUGAAACUGCUCGGCGCACAGCAGAGCGCAGCACAGACCCGAAUCCUUAUGGGCCCCGAGGCUAGCUCUCCAGCCUCUCAGCCUGCUUUUGGAUACUCUCAAACAGAGUCCUCUCUGUCCAGGAUACCUGUUUGUCACGCUCUCCCUGGAGCUGGCUCAGCUGGAGGCUCUGGGACUCGGAAGGAGCCCCCAUUCUAGAACUCUCACUGGGAGUUCUGGCUCUACGAAUGGAGUUGUCCCUGCAUGGAGUCCUACAGGCCUGGAUGCCACCAAAAGAGGGGGCAGUGGAAUGCUACUCCCCCUCUAAUCUGGCCACCAACUGCCACCUUAUCUGCAGGCCCUGACAAGGGUGACAGAAGCUGAUGCCUGGAUGUCCAGCAGGCAGGACGAUGGGAGAGCGGAGGGGGCAGAUGGUAGAGAAGGAGGCAAAAAGCAGCCCCACUCACCCUGGGGAGGGACCGAAAUCUCCUGCUUUAAAGCCAGCAGGUUCCGCCUCUGGGUAUUCUCUCCAGCACCAUUUUUCCUUCUUCACUACAGAGAUUUUAUUUCUCUCUUGCUUGGUUUGAGAACUGUCCUGAUGCAGCGGGCAGAUGUCUGAGUACUUGAGGGCUCCGGUGAUGACUCCUCAGGGUCUCCGCCUGAAGACUUGGUUCAAAGCUCCCAGCCCUCUAGCAGACCUCACCCCUGCCUCUUACCGUUUCCUCUUUCCUUCCUCCUGCAACUUCCCCUUUCUCUGCCUGCAUGCAGCCCCUGUGUCUCCAGCACAUUCUCCUUUGGGUCUCCGCGUCUUUGGCACUCACGUUCUGCAUGUUACUUAUCCUGUCCAUCGGCCAACAAGCAAUGGGUCAUGUCACUUUACUUCCCUGGUUUUCAUGUCUAUGAAAUGGUAAAAGUCAUGGAUGGUGGUGGGUUGUCUGGUGGUCUUGAGAGUCCCUGCAAGACCUUCUACCCUAAGAUUUGAAGUAUUUACUUAUUGAUGCCCUGAUGCCUGAGCGGGCAUUAUGGAAAAAAAAAAAAAGAGGCUGCCCAAUACCAGCCUGACCAACAUGGAGAAAACCCGUGUCUACUAAAAAUGCAAAAUUAGCUGGGCAUGGUGGCACAUGCCUGUAAUCCCAGCUACUCAGGAGGCUGAGGCAGGAGAAUCGCUUGAACCCGGGAGGUGGAGGUUGCAGUGAGCUGAGAUUGCACCACUGCACUUCAGCCCGGGCAACAAGAGCGAAACUCUGUCUCAAAAAAAAAAAAAAAAAAAGAGGCUGCCCAAUAUGUGCACUGGGACUCUCUACCCUUCUUCAUUCGAGGCCAGCCUAGGGCUGAGGAGUGAUCCCUUUACAGAUUCAAGCUGCCACAGGUCAAAUGAUAGAAUGGCGUGCAGCAGGAUGGGGAAGCCCAGUGGGAAACGGGGCAGCAGGAUGGGCUGGAACAAGCCUUCAGCCCUACCUCUCUCCUUUGACUACUCCAAAUAUUCUUGACUUCUGAAAAAUUCCCAAAUGUUUCCGAGCCAAGAAUCCCCCAAAGGAGUGGCUCAGUGUCUGGGGUUACAGAGACUUUGUUACUGCAGCAAAGCAUACUACAACCCAUUUACUGGUUUAAUUUAAUUAUUUAUGAUAACACUUCAGAGUAAAAACUACACUUGUCAAAAUAAAGGGGACUUUGUGCUGCAGUGACCCAGAUUUUAUUGUUGCAUUACCUAAUGCACCGAAACCUGGUAAUCGGCACCAGAUCUCCCUGCCACUUGGGCAAAUCAGCACUGAAUGAGGAAGGCUGAAAUGGAUUACUGCUUCCUGGGGGAAUUAUUUUCAACGAUUCAAACAAAAUGGCAUUUUGAUUUUCUUCCUCCCACUCUAGUUGCAUCCCCUUUCCCCCAAAUAACCUGGUUUCUACACAUAUAUUUGACUGUUUGCCGUUACCUCUGUGCCCUUAGAUCACCUCCCUUUCUUUGCACAUACAGUUUCUUCUGCCUAGGAUGCCUUCUCCACCACUCACUAGACAAAUCAUUCCUAACCAUGUCGGCACAACAGAUUCCCCCAUGCAUUUGAGAAGAAAUUCAGAUUUGGCCAGGCACGGUGGCUCACGCCUGUAAUCCCAGUAUUUUGGGAGGCUGAGGUGAGUGGAUUACCUGAGGUCAGGAGUUCAAGACCAGCCUGGCCAACAUGGGGAAACCCCGUCUCUACUGAAAAUACAAAAAUUAGCUGGGCAUGAUGGUGCAUGCCUGUAAUCCCAGCUACUUGGGAGGCUGAGACAGGAG
rnacentral:lncRNA from 10 species